UCUUUUAAAGAAGUAAAGAAAGUGGUUUCUUUAGAUGGAAACCACUCCCAGUGAAACUGUUGUGAA
rnacentral:pre_miRNA from 1 species